rnacentral:rRNA from 1 species
GACGAACGCUGGCGGCGUGCUUAACACAUGCAAGUCGAACGGAAAGGCCCUGCUUUUGUGGGGUGCUCGAGUGGCGAACGGGUGAGUAACACGUGAGUAACCUGCCCUUGACUUUGGGAUAACUUCAGGAAACUGGUGCUAAUACCGGAUAGGAGCUCCUGCUGCAUGGUGGGGGUUGGAAAGUUUCGGCUGUUGGGGAUGGACUCGCGGCUUAUCAGCUUGUUGGUGGGGUAGUGGCUUACCAAGGCUUUGACGGGUAGCCGGCCUGAGAGGGUGACCGGCCACAUUGGGACUGAGAUACGGCCCAGACUCCUACGGGAGGCAGCAGUGGGGAAUAUUGCACAAUGGGCGGAAGCCUGAUGCAGCAACGCCGCGUGCGGGAUGACGGCCUUCGGGUUGUAAACCGCUUUCGCCUGUGACGAAGCGUGAGUGACGGUAAUGGGUAAAGAAGCACCGGCUAACUACGUG